rnacentral:rRNA from 1 species
UACGGAGGGGGCUAGCGUUGUUCGGAAUUACUGGGCGUAAAGCGCACGUAGGCGGCUUGGAAAGUUGGAGGUGAAAGCCCGGAGCUCAACUCCGGAAUUGCCUUCAAAACUCCCAGGCUAGAGUUCGGAAGAGGAGAGUGGAAUUCCGAGUGUAGAGGUGAAAUUCGUAGAUAUUCGGAAGAACACCAGUGGCGAAGGCGGCUCACUGGACCGGCAUUGACGCUGAGGUGCGAAAGCGU